rnacentral:rRNA from 1 species
GAACGAAAGUUUGACACAGCGACACCGCGUGUGGGAUGACGGAUCUAGGUUUGUAAACCACUUUCAGGAGGGAAGAAAAUGACGGUACCUCCACAAGAAGCCCCGGCCAACUACGUGCCAGCAGCCGCGGUAAUACGUAGGGGGCGAGCGUUGUCCGGAUUUAUUGGGCGUAAAGAGCUCGUAGGCGGUUCAACAAGUCGGUCGUGAAAGUUCAGGGCUCAACCCUGAAAUGUCGAUCGAUACUGUUGUGACUAGGAUACGGUAGAGGUGAGUGGAAUUCCGAGUGUAGCGGUGAAAUGCGUAGAUAUUCGGAGGAACACCAAUUGCGAAGGCAGCUCACUGGGCCGCUAUCGACGCUGAGGAGCGAAAGCUAGGGGAGCAAACAGGAUUAGAUACCCUGGUAGUCCUAGCUGUAAACGAUGGAUACUAGAUGUAGGAACUGGAUUGACGGUUUCUGUAUCGCAGCUAACGCGUUAAGUAUCCCGCCUGGGGAGUACGGUCGCAAGACUAAAACUCAAAGGAAUUGACGGGACCCCGCACAAGCGGCGGAGCAUGCGGCUUAAUUCGAUGAUACCCGUAGAACCUUACCUGGACUUGACAUAUAGGGUCAAGCUAUAGAGAUAUAGUGUGCAUUAGCGCCCUAUACAGGUGGUGCAUGGCUGUCGUCAGCUCGUGUCGUGAGAUGUUGGGUUAAGUCCCGCAACGAGCGCAACCCCUGUCCUAUGUUGCCAGCAUUUAGUUGGGGACUCAUAGGAGACUGCCGGUGAUAACCCGGAGGAAGGUGGGGACGACGUCAAGUCAUCAUGCCCCUUAUGUCCAGGGCUGCACGCAUGCUACAAUGGCAAGUACA